rnacentral:rRNA from 1 species
CUACCAUGCAGUCGAACGGUGAAGCCCCGCUUGCGGGGUGGAUCAGUGGCGAACGGGUGAGUAACACGUGAGCAACCUGCCCUGGACUCUGGGAUAAGCGCUGGAAACGGCGUCUAAUACUGGAUAUGAGCUCUCAUCGCAUGGUGGGGGUUGGAAAGAUUUUUUGGUCUGGGAUGGGCUCGCGGCCUAUCAGCUUGUUGGUGAGGUAAUGGCUCACCAAGGCGUCGACGGGUAGCCGGCCUGAGAGGGUGACCGGCCACACUGGGACUGAGACACGGCCCAGACUCCUACGGGAGGCAGCAGUGGGGAAUAUUGCACAAUGGGCGGAAGCCUGAUGCAGCAACGCCGCGUGAGGGAUGACGGCCUUCGGGUUGUAAACCUCUUUUAGCAAGGAAGAAGCUUUUGUGACGGUACUUGCAGAAAAAGCGCCGGCUAACUACGUGCCAGCAGCCGCGGUAAUACGUAGGGCGCAAGCGUUAUCCGGAAUUAUUGGGCGUAAAGAGCUCGUAGGCGGUUUGUCGCGUCUGCUGUGAAAUCCCGAGGCUCAACCUCGGGCCUGCAGUGGGUACGGGCAGACUAGAGUGCGGUAGGGGAGAUUGGAAUUCCUGGUGUAGCGGUGGAAUGCGCAGAUAUCAGGAGGAACACCGAUGGCGAAGGCAGAUCGCUGGGCCUUAACUGACGCUGAAGAGCGGAAGGUUGGGGAGCAAACAGGCNUNGAUACCCUNNUACUCCACCCCGUNNAAG